rnacentral:rRNA from 1 species
AUCUAGCAUGCCGCGUGUGUGAUGAAGGUCUUAGGAUCGUAAAGCACUUUCGCCAGGGAUGAUAAUGACAGUACCUGGUAAAGAAACCCCGGCUAACUCCGUGCCAGCAGCCGCGGUAAUACGGAGGGGGUUAGCGUUGUUCGGAAUUACUGGGCGUAAAGCGUACGUAGGCGGAUUGGAAAGUUGGGGGUGAAAUCCCAGGGCUCAACCCUGGAACUGCCUCCAAAACUAUCAGUCUAGAGUUCGAGAGAGGUGAGUGGAAUUCCAAGUGUAGAGGUGAAAUUCGUAGAUAUUUGGAGGAACACCAGUGGCGAAGGCGGCUCACUGGCUCGAUACUGACGCUGAGGUACGAAAGUGUGGGGAGCAAACAGGAUUAGAUACCCUGGUAGUCCACACCGUAAACGAUGAAUGCCAGUCGUCGGGCAGUAUACUGUUCGGUGACACACCUAACGGAUUAAGCAUUCCGCCUGGGGAGUACG